UGUGUAGGCGGUCCCCUAAGUUUGGUGUGAAAUCUCCCGGCUCAACCGGGAGGGUGCGCCGAAAACUGGGGGACUAGAGUGCGGGAUGGGAGAGUGGAAUUCCUGGUGUAGCGGUGAAAUGCGUAGAUAUCAGGAGGAACACCGGUGGUGUAGACGGCUCUCUGGACCGUAACUGACGCUGAGACACGAAAGCGUGGGUAGCAAACAGGAUUAGAUACCCUGGUAGUCCACGCCCUAAACGAUGCAUAUUUGGUGUAGGUCAUUCAGUUGAUCUGUGCCGGAGCUAACGCGUUAAAUAUGCCGCCUGGGGAGUACAGUCGCAAGGCUGAA
rnacentral:rRNA from 1 species